rnacentral:rRNA from 1 species
GCUCGCAUGCUAGAGUCUGACGGAGCACGCCGCGUGAGCGAAGAAGGCCUUCGGGUCGUAAGCUCUGUUGUUCGUAAGAGAAGUGCCGGAGUAACUGCCGGCACCUUGACGGUAUAGUAGAGAGAAGCCACGGCUAUAUAGUGUCAGCAGCCGCGGUAAAUAAA